GGAGACCUCGGGGUGGUGCACCCCUACCCCACCCUUGCCUCUCCUCAAAUGUUCUGGAAGAGCAAAUCUAUGGAUCAGUAGGGAAACUGAGGCCAGGAGAGGCAACAGGGUGCUGGAUUCGCAUCCAAGUAAUGGGUGCAGAGGGUUAAGGGCUGGGCCGGAAUUUUCGCGCCGCGAGAAAAGUGGUUUUUCUUUCUGCUCUAAACUUAGCCCGGAACGGCGGGGUCAGACCGUGGUUCCAUGACGCGGGCGGCGCGGAGUGAGGUGGCCUGGACUGUGGGAAUCGCGCGUCUGUCCAUCGGUUAGAUAGGUAAACUGAGGCAAGUGACCCUCGGAGGAACCCACCCUCCUCUAGUCUCACUUUCUGGGAAUGGUGGCUCUCCCUCAACGCCUUUGAGCUCUCUCCGGAACCCUCCGCAGGGACCCGUCUUCGCAGGCAUCUAUCUGGUGCCCUGGGGGCGCUCUCCGGGACCUGGGACACCCCUCCAACCCCUCCGGGACUGAAAUGGCGCCAUCAAGGACCACGGUCACGACUCCCUCGGCCCUGCCGGCUGUCGCUGGCCCUGUGACCUUGGUGAAGGGACUUCCAGUCCCUGAGCUGCCAGGUGCCAAAUUAUCAAGUGAGUACUAACGCGGCACGAAUCCAGCGCAAGGUGCCAGACGCGGUCGGCGCCCACAAGCCUCGCCCCUGAGCCCCACGGGGUCACAGCUUCCUGAAAGGGUCGGGAUUCGAACCCUGAACAGUGGAUCAAAUCUUUGCAGGACGCGUGCGGGGCUGCGACGAGCCGGCGCUCGGCGAGCGCAGGUCCGCGUUCAGGGUGGGACACACAAGUCGCCCUCCUACGCAGCGAACGCCCAGCUUCGAAGGCCCCAGUCAAAUCAGGUCUUCGUCUGUAGACCCCGAAGGCUUACUGUGAGGACCCCCGGGACACCUAGCUGCUGGCUCCGGGACUGACCCGGGAGCCAGCCCAAGGGGAGGAGUCGUUUCCUCCUCCCUCGCCGCCUGGGCGUUCAGCCCGCCCGCCCCGGCCGACGAGGGUCAGGAGGAGACGUGAGCCUCAGCCCGUCCCGCUCUGGGCCAAACAGCUGGAAAGGGACAGACGCUGGUCCCCAGGGCAAAUGUACAGGCAGCGGGUGGAGGGAGACAGAGACGAAGAAAGACAGAGUCUCCAAGCACGCGAGACAGAGAGAGGGCAGAGCGAGAGAGAGACCGAGAAAGAGAGGGAGGGACAGAGCAUCCCUACCCCGAUUCCCCACCCGGCUCCAGCUGUCCCUGCCUCUGCCCUUCCCACCUCCGGCCCGGAGGUUCUGGUGACCCCCGCCAGGCCCUCCUUGUCGCCUCACCACAGCGGAUGGGCCACAGUGAAGCGCCGCUGCAGGCGGAUGCUCUGGUUUACCAGGAACUUCCUGAAGAGCCCGGGGGAGCCGCGAGGGGAGCCCCGGGGGGAGCCGGGCCCAGGGGCCGCGGCGGGCGCGGGGGGUCCCUGCAUCGCCGAGACCGCGUGGACGCUGCACCCAGCACGGGCUGAGCGGGACCUUUUCUGGACAGCCGAGGGGGCGGGGCCCGGCGGGGAGGGGGCAGAGGGCGCACCGGCCCCGCCUCGCCGCUGGACCUCUCCUUGAUGCCCCCCUCCGGGACAAAUGGGGAAACUGAGGCACUGUGCUGGACGCAACUCUCUGCUCCCUCCAUUUGGGGGGUGGCCCCGUGGGUCCCAGAGCCCGGAUCUUACGCCACUUCCCUCUGCCAAAAGGUCCCCAAUUAGGGCAGCUUUGGGGGUUGAUAACUUGGCUGAAAGGAGUGAAAUGCGGAAGUCGGAAAGGGAAGCGUCCUCCGUUCUGAGAGGGUUACAGAGGUACGGAGUUUACCGAGGGGCUGCCCAUUUCCUACACCUCUCUGCCCAUUUUCCAUACGGAGAAAAGGAGGCCUGAAGCUGCUCAGGGCUGUCCAGAAACCACAAACCCUUAACCCUUUUGCCAGGUGGAGAAAUUGAGGCUUGGAGGGAGGUGGUAAGAGGCACAAGGCUUUGCCUCAGGGCAGAGGGGUUCAAACCCAGCUCCCCCUCUCUGGGUCCCCCUCCACUAGGCCCCGCAUGACCCCCACCCACUCUGACAUUCCCCAGGCCCCAUCUCUGGAUCCUUUCCGCUCUCUUGCUGUUUCUACUGCACAAACAUCCGCACUCCACUCCGGCCAGGUCUCCUGCCUGUGAAGCAUCAGCUGCCUCUCCUCUGCCCCAGGAGGGGCCCCAGGGGGCCUGGAAAGGGAGCUUUUUGGAUGGAGAACCUGAAGGCUGGUCGGCUUGACUGCGGGAGGCCCCACACCCAGUCAGCUAAGGGGCUGAGGCUGAAGGAGGGCUGGACGUGAGGACUCCCACCUUGACUUUGCCCCUGGGUGCUGCGUGACCUGAGGAAGUGCCCAGCACUCUAGUGCCCUUCGCCUAUCACUGGAAUUCCCCCCAUUUGAGCAUUCUUUCCCUGGGCAGACACUUUUCUCCUCUGCCACCAGGUGGCCCCAGUGACAUGGGUGCUGUUAUACCCAUUUUACAGUAAACUGAGGUCUGGAGAGGAGCCAUGACUUGCCCAAGUCCCCAUAGACAAACGGAGAAGAGUAGGGUCUGAGUCCAGUGUCUAGAUGCUCACAUGGUCGAAUCUCACCCUCCUCUGCUCCAGACCCUCCCCAUGGCUCCCUAUUACCCUUCUAUCUCAAUCCACACCUCUUUGAAAGCCUUGUCUGGUUUGAACCUUUUGAGGUCUGAGCCUCCCUAUCUCCCCUAUCCCCCCACCUUCCUCUUGGCUCACUCUGGUCCAGUCUCAUCCCCCUCCUUAUUUUUCCUCAAAUCAGCCAGGUUCAUUCCCACCCCAUGCCUUUGCCCAAAUGCUUUCCUCCUGCUGACUCUCUGUAUUUCAGGUCAUAGCUGGAGCAUGACCCCCUCCAGAAAGCCCUCUCUAACUGGAUGGGUAAAUAUUCUCUGAGCAUCCUUGUCUCAUAGGUACAAUUUUACAUUUCCUGUCAUGAUUAUUUGAUCUGGAUCUGCCUCGCCCACCAGACCCUCAAAGGCAGGAAGCCCAUGCCUAACCAUGUGCCCUCAGUGUCUGGCACUCACUAUGUACUCAGUAAAUGCUUGGAAAUAAAUAGAGAGGCUCCCCUCUCACCCUCCAGCCACAA